UAAGACUGUCUUCCUGCCAUCUGCAACGGAGCAGCUUUUGCUCAUCUGGGGACAAUGUUGUUCCUGCUGAGAACAUAGGAAAUAAACAGAUUGGAGCCAAAAGAAGAAGGACCCAGAGUAUAAGGGAAUGAACUCCUAUUGCAGAGACCCAGCGCAAAGGAAGAGAUGGGAUCAUUCUGAGACCUCCUGCUCCCAAGGAAGCAGCUGUGGAGCUGGGAUGGAGAAGCACACCAGUCAGCUAAGAGGCACAGAGAAAACAAAGCAAGCCAGGACUCCUGGAGCCCGAUGCAGAAAGCCAUUGCUUAACACCUACAACCGGAAGAAGUUCCAGAGUUCCAGGUCUUACAUCCAGGCCCUAUGUCAAUUUGAGUUGGUUUCUGAACAGGGUGAGAGAUAAGGACCUAGUGUUGCUCUCUAACUUCCUUAAUAUCACUGUUGCAGAACGCUGCCCUUUUUUUCCAAUGAAUGUUUUGGUUCCUUUGUCAAGAGCCAGACGGGUGCAGCCACAUGGGCUUAUAUCUACGCUGUAUGGGUCUGCAGUGGUACCAUGCUGCUUUCGUUACUUGGCUGUAGCAGACUUGUGCAGCCUCCGGAAUUGCACCUUUUAAUCAGGACUGCUUUAGCUGCUUAGAUCUCUUGUACUUCCACAAGUUUUAGGAUUAAAUGUUUUCUUUAUGUGAA